GACGAACCGUGCGAACGUUAUUCGGAAUCACUGGGCGUAAAGGGCGCGUAGGCGGCGCGAGCAGUCGAUCGUGAAAGUCCGGAGCUCAACUCCGGAUCGGCGGUCGAUACUCUCGUGCUUGAGCACUGUAGAGGCAGAUGGAAUUCCGGGUGUAGCGGUGGAAUGCGUAGAGAUCCGGAAGAACACCGGUGGCGAAGGCGGUCUGCUGGGCAGUUGCUGACGCUGAGGCGCGACAGCGUGGGGAGCAAACAGG
rnacentral:rRNA from 1 species